rnacentral:rRNA from 1 species
UACGUAGGCAGCAAGCGUUGUUCGGAGUUACUGGGCGUAAAGGGUGCGUAGGCGGCUUCUUAAGUCUGGUGUGAAAUCUCCCGGCUCAACUGGGAGGGUGCGCCGGAUACUGUGGGGCUAGAGUGUGGGAGAGGAAAGUGGAAUUCCUGGUGUAGCGGUGAAAUGCGUAGAUAUCAGGAGGAACACCGGUGGUGUAAACGGCUUUCUGGACCAUAACUGACGCUGAGGCACGAAAGCGUGGGGAGCAAACAGG